rnacentral:rRNA from 1 species
CAGUAGCCGCGGUAAUACGAAGGGGGCUAGCGUUGUUCGGAAUUACUGGGCGUAAAGCGCACGUAGGCGGAUAUUUAAGUCAGGGGUGAAAUCCCAGAGCUCAACUCUGGAACUGCCUUUGAUACUGGGUAUCUUGAGUAUGGAAGAGGUGAGCGGAAUUCCGAGUGUAGAGGUGAAAUUCGUAGAUAUUCGGAGGAAUACCAGUGGCGAAGGCGGCUCACUGGUCCAUUACUGACGCUGAGGUGCGAAAGCGUGGGGAGCAAACAGGAUUAGAUACCCCGGUAGUCCCUGUCUCUUAUAC